CGCACGCGUGCCGCGGGGGAUGCCGGGAGCGCGCAGUGGCGGCAGCGGCGGCGACGGCAGUAGCAGCGGCAGCUACAGCGGGGACGCGAGCGGGGCGGUGACCGUGUGGGAGGUGGUCUCACUCUUGGGGAAGCUGCUGGGCACUGUCGCCGCGCUGAAGGUAGUUCUGUACCUGCUCCGGGUGUGCUUAGCGAUGGCCUGGAAAUCCGGCGGCGCCAGCCACUCGGAGCUAAUCCACAACCUCCGCAAAAAUGGAAUCAUCAAGACAGAUAAAGUAUUUGAAGUAAUGCUGGCCACAGACCGCUCUCACUAUGCAAAAUGUAACCCUUAUAUGGAUUCUCCACAAUCAAUAGGGUUCCAAGCAACAAUCAGUGCUCCACACAUGCAUGCAUAUGCACUAGAACUUCUAUUUGAUCAAUUGCAUGAAGGAGCUAAAGCUCUUGAUGUAGGAUCUGGAAGUGGAAUCCUUACUGCAUGUUUUGCACGUAUGGUUGGACCUAGUGGAAAAGUCAUAGGAAUUGACCACAUUAAAGAGCUAGUAGACGACUCAGUAAAUAAUGUCAGAAAGGAUGAUCCAAUGCUUUUGUCUUCAGGGAGAGUGCAACUGGUUGUGGGGGAUGGAAGAAUGGGAUAUGCCGAAGAAGCCCCUUAUGAUGGUAUUCAUGUAGGAGCUGCAGCCCCAGUUGUGCCUCAGGCACUAAUAGACCAGUUAAAGCCUGGCGGAAGAUUGAUAUUGCCAGUUGGUCCUGCAGGUGGAAACCAGAUGUUGGAGCAGUAUGACAAGCUACAAGAUGGCAGUGUCAAAAUGAAACCUCUGAUGGGAGUGAUAUACGUGCCUUUAACAGAUAAAGAAAAGCAGUGGUCCAGGAUUUCCAGUACUAUGUUGAAUAAAAGUGGCGAGAGUGGGCAUCCUUGUCUUGUUCCUGAUUUUAGAGGAAAAGCUCUCAGCUUUUCACCGUUGAAUAUGAUGUUAGCUGUGAGCUUGUCAUAUGUGGCCUUUAUUAUGUUGAGGUACGUUCCCUCUAUACCCAGGUUGUUGAGAGUUUUUAUCCUUUUCCCUUUUCAAAAAAAUUUUUAAAUGGAGAGGAUAUGUACUGUAUUGCUGGGCAAUAAGGAUAUUUAUUGACAAAAUCCUUAAUGCCUUGCAACAGGUAAAUAAAAUGUAAAAUUAUUAAAAAACAACAAUAGUAUCUUUAAUCCAUAUUUUAAAAAGCACAAGUGAAUUUAAUUUAUGAAUAGAGCACUUUGCAAGUGAACUCUUUGAAGAUUAAGUACUUUAAUGCUUGCAUGAAUUUAAGUAAAAGCUGUUUUGUGAGAAUUACAGUACUUAAAUUAUUUGGAAGACUAUAUUAAGAGGAACAAGAACUGAUAACUUAUCAUUUAACAGAUAAUCCAGUGCUGUAUGACAAACACAGCUUAUGGGAGAAGUCAUUUUAAAAAUAUUUUCUUGCACAAUUCAUAAAUUCAUAUUUUAUAAAAAAUACUGUACUGGCCAAUAAUCCCUUAAUUCACCUACCUGGGAAAUUUUAGCUCUUUAUUUACCUUCCCUUCAAAUUUAUUUUAACAGCUUUUAAAAAACUUAAAAAAUUUUAUUAUAGACAAGUUGCAAGAAUAGUACAAAGAGCUCCUGAAUCUCUUCAUCCAGAGUUAUCGAUUAUUAACAUUUUUCCACAUUCCUUUUCACUCCCUCUUUCUCUAUAUAUAUACAUACAUGUAACAUUUUUUCCUAAGUCAUUUGAGAUUUAGUUGCAAACAUCAUACUUCUUUACCCCUAAAGUACUUGAAUCUUUAACAAUGUUUUUUUUUAACUCAGAUUACCCUCAAAUAAGAAGCUUUUAGGCUUUUCUGGUAGCUCUAUUUUUUUACUUUUAACAGCUUUAUUGAGGUAUAAUUUAUAUACCAUACAAUUUAUUUUAGACUGCAUUUUUAUUCCUUCCUUCCUCUCACUGGCAGUUGCUGGUACAGUGCUGCACCUGGCUGAGCGAAUGGUUUCUUUUGGAGCUGAUAAAGCUGCCUUAUGAAAUCAGCUGACAGGGACGAACUGUAAAAGCAACAUCAGCUUGACCAGUAUAUAAUAUUACAGUGGAUUGCUCAUCUCAGUCCUCAAAGCUUUUGAAAAUCAACAGCAUCACAGCUUGUUUUGGACUUUCUUACACUAUUUUCAGCAUGAAAAUGUGUGGUUUUGUGGGGUUUCUAAUUCUUCAAAGAGGCACAGAAGCCAAAUUGGUAGAAGAAAGAUGCAAAUAUAAAUUUGUGUAUUAUUACUUUAACAUGCCCACGUUUUACUUUAAAUGUUAAAAGAAAGGGUUCUGCAAAAUGGAAAACAUAGUUUGUGAAUUGAUUUUUGAGGAGUGGUUUUUCUUUUCUUAGACACUUAAUUCUGUUCAGAUGUUAAUUUAUCAGAUUGCUUUUGUGCAUCAGGUAACACCACCAUUCAUAAGUUAAGAUUCUUGGUUUUUGGGUGUAUGUUAGAUGCUACUAAGAAAAUAGAGAUGAGCUUCCUUUUUAAAGCUUUUGAUGUGGUGUCAUAGAAUAGCAUGUUGUAGAUACAAUCGGCUGCUUUGUUACCUUAAAACUAAGCAUUUGUAAAUAUUAAAACUUAAGAAGAUGACAGGUGAUGUCCCUUAAAACACUCAGCUGUUCAGAUUGGACAUAACUGACAUAGUUCUUCCUUUCUCUCUUUAAAAAUUCUAGGAGACUUGUAGCUCAGUAUUGUUUUCCUGUUUCUGAUUUGCUGCUCAUAAUGUACAUGGAUUUAACAUGCUGUGUAAGCUGCGUCCUAGUCACUGAACAGUUGAUGCAGUGCUGCUUUGCCAAAUAAAGUUAAAAGUGAAAGGCA